GAUGAACGCUGGCGGCGUGCCUAACACAUGCAAGUCGAGCGAUUCUYUUYGGAGAAGAGCGGCGGACGGGUGAGUAACGCGUGGGUAACCUACCCUGUACACACGGAUAACAUACCGAAAGGUAUGCUAAUACGGGAUGAUAUAUAGAAAUCGCAUGAUUUUUAUAUCAAAGAUUUAUCGGUACAGGAUGGACCCGCGUMUGAUUAGCUUGUUGGCGGGGUAMCGGCCCACCAAGGCGACGAUCAGUAGCCGACCUGAGAGGGUGAUCGGCCACAWGGAACUGAGACACGGUCCAAACUCCUACGGGAGGCAGCAGUGGGGAAUAWUGCCACMAAUGGGCWGCSAAGCCYCG
rnacentral:rRNA from 1 species